CUGUCCCUCGAUCUGCGAUCACUUCGUAGCUAUCCAUUCUCCACGUUGAGUCCAGAACCAUCUAUGGAAUCAUGAAUAGCAGCCAAUCACAGUGAGCCUCACUAACUUCCAGGUUGCCACGGGGCUGCAAGCGAGGCAGCUGUUGAAGGGGUGACAGCCAGAGCUCCUCGGGCCACUGCCGUGACAACAGAAAGGGAGAAGGACUUUUCCUCAGAGACUAUAAACUGAAUGCUUGUACCCCCAGUGUGAUGGGAUUUGGAGAUGAAGCUUUUGGGGGAUGACCAGGGUUAGAUGUCAGGAGGCCCUGGUCUGAUGUGAUGGGAGUGGUGCCCUUCUUAGCAGGGACACCGACCAGAGCGUUUGCUCGUUGAUGCCCUACCUCCGUGCACACCGAGGAAAGGCUGUGUGAGCCACAGUGAGAAGGCGGCCAUCUGUAAGCCAGGAAGAGGGCCUGCGCCAGAACCUGACCAUCUUGACACCUGGACCUUGGACUUCCAGCCUCCAGAAUGGUGAAAAUAUAUAUUUCUGUUGUUUAAGCCACCCAGUUUACGGUAUUUUGCUACAGCAGCCGAAGUAGGCUAAUACAGAGACCCCCACCCAACCCUGCAACUCUCUCCACAUAGUCCGGUGGGGCUGAGCCUGGCUCUGUCCACGGGUGAACUGGGCAGAGAGUAUUGCAUCCUCCCACCCCCACGAGCAGGGAUGGACAAGCCUGGGUCAAAGAUGGCUCAAGGAUGGACACCUGACCCAGGCCAAGUUCAUCAGAGUCAAUACCACUCAGUCCCAGAAUUCCUUUUGGAAGUCUUUUGAGAGGCAACUCUCUCUGCUGGGGUUAUUAGGAGCUUUGGACAUACCUGGAGCUCCAGACCACCAUCUUUCUGGGAAAGUGCCUGCCUGAAAAGGAGACAACACAGAGAAAGGCACUAUUUGAACACCUGGACACAGCCUUGCCUGAAUGAAGCCAUCUACUCUGCACAUUUCAGUAUCAUCAAUAUUUUCUUAGCUAUGUUCCAAAGACCCACAUUGGCUUGAAUAGAACCUUAACAAUUGUGUGAUCCAGUGGCCCUACUUACAGGUGGGAGACCUAGACGGCAGUUGGCUCUCAGUAGAAGAUUCCAUCCAAGUGCCCACAGGAAUGGUGGUGAGAAAAUGGAGGCUCAGAGAAGGAUAAAUCACUUCCUC
rnacentral:lncRNA from 1 species